CGCCAGGGAACUACGAGCAAAGCUUAAAACCCAAAGGACUUGACGGUACCCCAUAUCCCCCUAGAGGAGCCUGUCCUAUAAUCGAUAAUCCACGUUUAACCUCACCAUUUCUAGUUUAUCAGCCUGUAUACCUCCGUCGUCAGCUUACCACGUGAGCGCCUAUUAGUGAGCUUAAUGUUAUUUCACCAACACGUCAGGUCAAGGUGCAGCAAAUGAAGUGGGAAGAGAUGGGCUACACUUUCUAUAUUAGAAGAAACGAAAAACUAUUUAUGAAAACUAGUUGGAAGGCGGAUUUAGCAGUAAAAAGGAAUCAGCAUGUCCAUUUUAACCCGGCACUGGGGUGUGUACACACCGCCCGUCACCCU
rnacentral:rRNA from 1 species